UUUUCUUCAUCUUCUUCAUCUGCUUCAGUAACCCGAGAGAAGAUGAAGCUCUCUUCUUCUUCUUCUUCAUCAAGGGCUUCAAACUAAUGAAAGAAGAAGAAGAAGAAGAAGAAGAAGAAGGAACUUGGAGGUUUGAGAGAAGAAGGAACUUGGUGCUUGAUUGGCUUGAGAGGGAGUUCCAGGUCUAGCUAGAAACCCAAGGGAGACAAGUAUGGCAGAGCAAUCAUACUAGUAUAUCUGGUUUUGACAAUUAAAUUAUGCGUAAUUCUUCAAAGAGAAUGCCUAUGAUUAUUCUACAUUGCUUGAGUAAAGUUUUAUUGGUUAUUACACUGGCAUUGAGACUUUAUUUGAUUUGAAAUGAGUUAUUUGUGUUUAUUUCAUACUUGAAAGCAUUAUUGUUCAAAGGCGAGUAUUUUCAGAUUGUUAUGUGAUUCGCAAAUUGUGCAUUGAUUUAUAUUAAAAGCUUUGGAUACCCUUGUGUUUAUCAUUUUUGUAGGGAAAUGGCAAAUAUUUUGAAUAUUGAUUUUUGUCCUGGUUAUGGACUCCUCGUUGUGAGAUGUAUGAUUGUUGAGUUUGUAUGGUGACCCUACUACAGUAGGCGGUCUCCAUAGCUAGCCUGUUGAGGUGCCGUGGUAGACCAGCUGAUUACUAUGAGGGCCAGCUCAGGUGGGAGUGUCGAUCCCUGACUGGAUAUUCAUCGGGUAGCCGGGGUCACCGACCGGUGAACCGAUGGGUCAACGUCAAGGACAUGAGUUCUUUGACGGCUCUGAACCUAGCCGCGGCCACGGCGAAAGUUUAGAAAGUUUUCUAGACCAUAUUAUGCUGGGUGAGUGUUGAGUAUUGUUUUAUACUGAAUUUGCGAUUUAUGUUAUUUUGGAUUGUGAUGAGGGGGUGAAGCCAGCUGUCGCUCUUAGGAUGGUUACGAUGGAUCCAUUUUCUCUCUACUGUUGGUGUCGUGAUUGUGUAGCGGUUGUACAAGCAUGUUGCAGUAAUUGUGCUCAUUGUAUCCAUAUAUUUGAACCUGUAGCUGUGUAGAGUUGUUAAUCAUAUUUCUAUAAGUCUCAUUUGUUGUUUCCAGGGUGUCGGUUUUCCAAUUAAAAUGGAUUUCUUAACUGAUGGGUGCCACAUUUACCUCGGGAAAGGGGGUAGGUGUGACAACUGUGAUCAAGGCCAUUGCUUACACCAGAGAAUUCACCAACAACCUCAUUGAUCCCAUUGGCAAAAGAUUCAUUCAAUUUAAUUAUUCAUGUGCUGAUGGUCCUUUCCUUCUCACUCAUGUUGCACCCAAUCAUGCCCUUCAAGUGAGAUCCAUCGGUUUUUUCAUGACCAAUGCUAACAACUAUGUUUCCCUCGCAUGAUGCUUUUCGCAGCCUAUGAGUGAUAAUUCUUCUGACGAGAUUUUUGCCAUUGAAGUUGCUUUGUAGACAGCUCUUGAACAUUGCAUCAAAAUCAAACGUAUCCUUUGCUCUCAUCAUGGCGCUCUAGACAUUCUUCAACGACCCGGUCCCAUGCUUUCUUGGCGAUUUCAUCACCAAAUCAACAAUCUAAAUUUUCUCCUGGACAUGUGUCAAAGAUCAAGCAUCGAAAUCAUUCCUCUUCCCUAGAUCAGACCUGCUGUCAAUCUAGCCACUCUGGGAUUUCUCCAUCGACAUCUCAACUUAUUCCUUUACUGCCGAUACCUUCCCUGAUGGAUUAUGCAAUCAUUCACUAGUUAUGGAUACUUUUUCUUUUGAUUGUUUUAUUUCUGUUCUUCUUCCUUCCUAGCUUUGUUUCAGAUCUUUUGUU